UGGACAGCAGUGAAGACCGAAACCUUCUAGCAAGAGAACAAAUACCAAAGAGGCAGUAGCAAUGCAAACUUCCCCACACUUCCCAGCCAAUGGACCUCAAACCUGACUCUCGGUGUCCACAUCUAGUGUCUUUCAGAAGGGAGGGCAGUCUCUACAACCCAUUAAUUACCUGGCCUUU
rnacentral:sRNA from 1 species